rnacentral:rRNA from 1 species
UACAGAGGUCCCAAGCGUUGUUCGGAUUCAUUGGGCGUAAAGGGUGCGUAGGCGGCGCGGUAAGUCGGGUGUGAAAUCUCGGGGCUUAACUCCGAAACUGCAUUCGAUACUGCCGUGCUUGAGGACCGGAGAGGAGACUGGAAUUUACGGUGUAGCGGUGAAAUGCGUAGAUAUCAGGAAGAAUAUCCGUGGCGAAGGCGGCUCUCUGGGACGGUACUGACGCUGAGGUGCGAAAGCGUGGGGAGCAAACAGG